CAUACACACAUACACACAUGUGUGUUCUCCUGAAGUCUACUAUCAUCUCCACAGCUUUGAGUAUGUUCAGAUCCAGGUUGUGGUGACUGCACCAGAUGGCCAGCUGCUCAACCUCUUGGCUCUAUGCAGACUCAUCUCUGUCCUGGAUGAGACCGAUGACUGUAGGGUCAUCUGCAAAUUUCAGGAGCUUGACAGAGGGGUGUUUAGAGGCGUCCUCUUUGGCCUGGCAAAGCUGCUUGAGUUUUGCGUUAAAUCAAGAGAAAUUGCCCCAUUGUGGUAUAAUAUGAAG